rnacentral:piRNA from 1 species
UGAAAGGGUGAUACACAAAGGCAUGCC